rnacentral:rRNA from 1 species
UACGAAGGGGGCUAGCGUUGAUCGGAAUCACUGGGCGUAAAGCGCACGUAGGCGGCUUUCUAAGUCAGGGGUGAAAUCCUGGAGCUCAACUCCAGAACUGCCUUUGAUACUGGAGAGCUUGAGUCCGGAAGAGGUGAGUGGAACUCCGAGUGUAGAGGUGAAAUUCGUAGAUAUUCGGAAGAACACCAGUGGCGAAGGCGGCUCACUGGUCCGGUACUGACGCUGAGGUGCGAAAGCGUGGGGAGCAAACAGG